AGAAAUGGGCCAGUGGGAAAUAGUUCUUGCCAACAAGCCUGGGCACUUGAGUUCAAUUCCCUGCACCUGACUUCCACACAUAUGUUGUAGCAUGUAGAGGCCCAGACAUGUACACAAACACAAAUUGUGCAAAUAUAAUUUUUUUUCAUGAAAGAAACUAGGUAAGGGUAGAGCAUCCACUAAAUUAUAUCAGUGUUUAUUCUGUUAAUUACUGUGAGAUACAUGCUGUGUUAUAGUGUCCCAUGAAACCAUGGGAAAAUAAACAAGGAUUAGCUUUCCUGAAGUCUUAUUACUAGUCCCUUAAAUAACAAUUAUCAUUACCUGACCAUUCUGCUUUUUUAUGGAGGGGUAUGUAUGUAUACUUAGUGAUAAAUUUCUUUAGUCACAAUAAGGACCCCAAAUGAAUAAGGUACCAUGUGUGUGUGUGUGUGUGUGUAUACACAUAUAUACACACACAUAUAUAUAAUCAACUACUAAAUUGUUAUAUUCAUAUUAUUUUAGUAAUAAUAGCAGUAAUAAAUUUAUCUUUUGGUAUAUUGUAAAACAUAAAUAAGAGUUAUUACUAGGGAUUUAUGUUGUUUGAGGCAUGUGACUGUCAGUCCAGUAUGGUGUCUUAUUCCUUUGGGAAACCUUAUCACUGUGACUAAAUUAAAUGAUCAUUAAGAUCGUGCAACAGAACCUUGCAUGGGAGCUCAUAUCUGCCGUCCUGCAUCUGGGAAGCUGUGGCAGGAAGAUUGCUCUGUAUUUGAAGCCAACCUUGUAUACAGAGUAAGACCCUUUUUAACAUAAUAAAGAAUAUAUAUUGGUUUACUUACUCCAUUAUAUUUUAAGAAAUGGAAUGACUGGAUUGCAGAACUGCAGGUUGUUGAUUGUUUUCACAAUUUGUAAUUCUUUUGUUUACUACAAAUAAAUGCUCUUAACUUC
rnacentral:lncRNA from 1 species